rnacentral:rRNA from 1 species
UACGUAGGGCGCAAGCGUUUGUCCGGAAUUAUUGGGCGUAAAGAGCUCGUAGGCGGCCUGUCGCGUCUGCUGUGAAAUCCCGGGGCUUAACCCCGGGCCUGCAGUCGAUACGGGCAGACUAGAGUGCGGUAGGGGAGACUGGAAUUCCUGGUGUAGCGAUGAAAUGCGCAGAUAUCAGGAGGAACACCGGUGGCGAAGGCGGGUCUCUGGGCCGUAACUGACGCUGAGGAGCGAAAGCGUGGGGAGCGAACAGG